UUUGGGCUAAAGUUAUAAGUUGUAAACCAAAGCGAAUUAUCAAUGUACUAAGGUAAGUUUUAUAACUUAUAUAAUAAUAAAUUAAAUUUUGUUAAUAUAAGAUACAGCUAAAGAAACUUAUAUGCAUAUAAAUAUAUAUUGAUCAAAUGGGAUUAUAAUAUUUUAAUAGGAUUUAUUUGCCUAUUUAUUCUUGUAGUGCUUACUAAGUCUUCACCGGC
rnacentral:lncRNA from 1 species